rnacentral:rRNA from 1 species
AUUGAACGCUGGCGGCAUGCCUUACACAUGCAAGUCGAACGGCAGCACGGGAGCAAUCCUGGUGGCGAGUGGCGAACGGGUGAGUAAAGUAUCGGAACGUGCCCAGUCGUGGGGGAUAACGUAGCGAAAGUUACGCUAAUACUGCAUACGAUCUAUGGAUGAAAGCGGGGGAUCGCAAGACCUCGCGCGAUUGGAGCGGCCGAUAUCAGAUUAGGUAGUUGGGGGGGUAAAGGCUCACCAAGCCGACGAUCUGUAGCUGGUCUGAGAGGACGACCAGCCACACUGGGACUGAGACACGGCCCAGACUCCUACGGGAGGCAGCAGUGGGGAAUUUUGGACAAUGGGCGAAAGCCUGAUCCAGCCAUGCCGCGUGCAGGAUGAAGGCCUUCGGGUUGUAAACUGCUUUUGUACGGAACGAAAAGGUUUGGCCUAAUAAGCUGAGCUCAUGACGGUACCGUAAGAAUAAGCACCGGCUAACUACGUGCCAGCCGCCGCAGUAA